AACGAACGCUGGCGGCGUGCCUAACACAUGCAAGUCGAACGAGACCUUCGGGUCUAGUGGCGCACGGGUGCGUAACGCGUGGGAACCUGCCCUUAGGUUCGGAAUAACUCCCCGAAAGGGGUGCUAAUACCGGAUAAUGUCUUCGGACCAAAGAUUUAUCGCCUUUGGAUGGGCCCGCGUUGGAUUAGCUAGUUGGUAGGGUAAAAGCCUACCAAGGCGACAAUCCAUAGCUGGUCUGAGAGGAUGAUCAGCCACACUGGGACUGAGACACGGCCCAGACUCCUACGGGAAGCAGCAGUGGGGAAUAUUGGACAAUGGGCGAAAGCCUGAUCCAGCAAUGCCGCGUGAGUGAUGAAGGCCUUAGGGUUGUAAAGCUCUUUUACCCGGGAUGAUAAUGACAGUACCGGGAGAAUAAGCUCCGGCUAACUCCGUG
rnacentral:rRNA from 1 species